rnacentral:misc_RNA from 1 species
AGCAGCCGCGGUAAUUCCAGCUCCAAUAGCGUAUAUUAAAGUUGUUGCAGUUAAAAAGCUCGUAGUUGAAUUUCGGGAUCAAUAUGUUGGUCGUGCCUUGGUACGUACUGGCGUCAUUGAUUUCUACCUUCUGAAGAACCUCGAUGUCAUUAAUUUGGUGUCUUGGGGAAUCAGGACUGUUACUUUGAAAAAAUUAGAGUGUUUAAAGCAAGCUCACGCUUGAAUACAUUAGCAUGGAAUAAUGAAAUAGGACGUUUGAUUCUAUUUUGUUGGUUUCUAGGAUCGACGUAAUGAUUAAUAGGGAUAGUUGGGGGCAUUAGUAUUCAAUUGUCAGAGGUGAAAUUCUUGGAUUUAUUGAAGACUAACUACUGCGAAAGCAUUUGCCAAGGAUGUUUUCAUUAAUCAAGAACGAAAGUUAGGGGAUCGAAGACGAUCAGAUACCGUCGUAGUCUUAACCAUAAACUAUGCCGACUAGGGAUCGGAUGAUGUUAAUUUUUUCAAUGACUCAUUCGGCGCCUUA